rnacentral:rRNA from 1 species
UCAAGUGAAGAAGCGCAUACGGUGGAUGCCUUGGCAGUCAGAGGCGAUGAAAGACGUGGUAGCCUGCGAAAAGCUUUGGGGAGUCGGCAAACAGACUGUGAUCCAGAGAUCUCUGAAUGGGGGAACCCAGCCAGCAUAAGCUGGUUAUCUUGUACUGAAUACAUAGGUGCAAGAGGCGAACCAGGGGAACUGAAACAUCUAAGUACCCUGAGGAAAAGAAAUCAACCGAGAUUCCCUUAGUAGUGGCGAGCGAACGGGGACCAGCCCUUAAGUUGGUUUGAGAUUAGUGGAACGCUCUGGAAAGUGCGGCCAUAGUGGGUGAUAGCCCCGUACACGAAAAUCUCUUAUCAAUGAAAUCGAGUAGGACGGAGCACGAGAAACUUUGUCUGAAUAUGGGGGGACCAUCCUCCAAGGCUAAAUACUACUGACUGACCGAUAGUGAACUAGUACCGUGAGGGAAAGGCGAAAAGAACCCCGGAGAGGGGAGUGAAAUAGAUCCUGAAACCGUAUGCGUACAAGCAGUGGGAGCCUACUUUGUUAGGUGACUGCGUACCUUUUGUAUAAUGGGUCAGCGACUUAUAUUCAGUGGCGAGCUUAACCGAAUAGGGGAGGCGUAGCGAAAGCGAGUCUUAAUAGGGCGUUUAGUCGCUGGGUAUAGACCCGAAACCGGGCGAUCUAUCCAUGGGCAGGUUGAAGGUUAGGUAACACUGACUGGAGGACCGAACCGACUACCGUUGAAAAGUUAGCGGAUGACCUGUGGAUCGGAGUGAAAGGCUAAUCAAGCUCGGAGAUAGCUGGUUCUCCUCGAAAGCUAUUUAGGUAGCGCCUCAUGUAUCACUGUAGGGGGUAGAGCACUGUUUCGGCUAGGGGGUCAUCCCGACUUACCAAACCGAUGCAAACUCCGAAUACCUACAAGUGCCGAGCAUGGGAGACACACGGCGGGUGCUAACGUCCGUCGUGAAAAGGGAAACAACCCAGACCGUCAGCUAAGGUCCCAAAGUCAUGGUUAAGUGGGAAACGAUGUGGGAAGGCUUAGACAGCUAGGAGGUUGGCUUAGAAGCAGCCACCCUUUAAAGAAAGCGUAAUAGCUCACUAGUCGAGUCGGCCUGCGCGGAAGAUGUAACGGGGCUCAAACCAUGCACCGAAGCUACGGGUACAUCUUAUGAUGAUGCGGUAGAGGAGCGUUCUGUAAGCCUGUGAAGGUGAGUUGAGAAGCUUGCUGGAGGUAUCAGAAGUGCGAAUGCUGACAUGAGUAACGACAAUGCGAGUGAAAAACUCGCACGCCGAAAGACCAAGGUUUCCUGCGCAACGUUAAUCGACGCAGGGUUAGUCGGUCCCUAAGGCGAGGCUGAAAAGCGUAGUCGAUGGAAAACAGGUUAAUAUUCCUGUACUUCCAGUUAUUGCGAUGGAGGGACGGAGAAGGUUAGGCCAGCCUGGCGUUGGUUGUCCAGGUUUAAGGUGGUAGGCUGAAAUCUUAGGCAAAUCCGGGAUUUCAAGGCCGAGAGCUGAUGACGAGUUGCCUUUAGGCGACGAAGUGGUUGAUACCAUGCUUCCAAGAAAAGCUCCUAAGCUUCAGAUAACUGGGAACCGUACCCCAAACCGACACAGGUGGUUAGGUAGAGAAUACCAAGGCGCUUGAGAGAACUCGGGUGAAGGAACUAGGCAAAAUGGCACCGUAACUUCGGGAGAAGGUGCGCCGGCGAGGGUCAAGGACUUGCUCCGUAAGCCCAUGCCGGUCGAAGAUACCAGGCCGCUGCGACUGUUUAUUAAAAACACAGCACUCUGCAAACACGAAAGUGGACGUAUAGGGUGUGACGCCUGCCCGGUGCCGGAAGGUUAAUUGAUGGGGUUAGCGCAAGCGAAGCUCUUGAUCGAAGCCCCGGUAAACGGCGGCCGUAACUAUAACGGUCCUAAGGUAGCGAAAUUCCUUGUCGGGUAAGUUCCGACCUGCACGAAUGGCGUAACGAUGGCGGCGCUGUCUCCACCCGAGACUCAGUGAAAUUGAAAUCGCUGUGAAGAUGCAGUGUAUCCGCGGCUAGACGGAAAGACCCCGUGAACCUUUACUAUAGCUUUGCACUGGACUUUGAAUUUGCUUGUGUA